ensembl:lncRNA TGFB2-AS1 TGFB2 antisense RNA 1 (head to head)
GCAGAGGCUGCUGAGGCGGCGCGGAUCCUGCUCUGGGAGCUGCGCUCCGUGGCCUACACCCUGGCGGGCGCGCGCUGACCCGCUUGGUUACUCCACGUUGCUGCCGCCGCCGCUUGCAAACGCUUCCAGCCUCCAGCUCCCUCCUUCUCCUGCUCCUCCUUCUCUUGCUCCAAACGCCAACCCAGCCACAGACGAUCAGCCGUCGCGGUUGCGUUCACCCCCUGCGGAUCACAACGGCAGCCCUUGCGACACCCUGGCUGGGGAGUUUUAUUCCUGAGGGGGUUGCGCAGGGGCUCCCUUGGACUCCCACCCUUUCCCAACCUCUGCUGGCUUCUCCCCAACGUGGAAUUGCUCGCUUAGGUUACUCAAAGUCAACAUUUUCAUUUCGGCAUGACUCUGCAGCCAUACUGACCAGACAGAUGAUUUAAACUGGAAACUCUGUUGAAUGUACUCCCAAACCCAAGAUCUCUAUACUGUUCUCUACUUCAGAUGUUCCUGAGUUCAGAAAAGUCACAAAGAACUUUCUAUCACUUUUGGAAUUUAUACUUCAGUUGUGUAUGGGGCCUAGGUUAUUAGUAGAGCACUGAAUAAAUAAAAUAAUAAUAGCUAACAUAUACUACA